rnacentral:rRNA from 1 species
AGUGAACGCUGGCGGUAGGCCUAACACAUGCAAGUCGAACGGCAGCACAGUAAGAGCUUGCUCUUACGGGUGGCGAGUGGCGGACGGGUGAGGAAUACAUCGGAAUCUACUUUUUCGUGGGGGAUAACGUAGGGAAACUUACGCUAAUACCGCAUACGACCUACGGGUGAAAGCAGGGGAUCUUCGGACCUUGCGCGAUUGAAUGAGCCGAUGUCGGAUUAGCUAGUUGGCGGGGUAAAGGCCCACCAAGGCGACGAUCCGUAGCUGGUCUGAGAGGAUGGUCAGCCACAUUGGGACUGGGAAACGGGCCCAACUCCCACGGGGGGCAGCAGGAGGGAAUUUUGGGAAAUGGGGGAAAGCCUGACCCAGCAACGCCCGGUGGGUGAAGAAGGGUUUCGGGUUGUAAAACCCUUUUGGUAGAGAAGAAAGAGGGGGAGGUUGAAACCCUCCUUUAGUGACGGUAACAAACAAGAAAGCGCCGGCUAACUUCGUG